rnacentral:rRNA from 1 species
AUGCCAUUCCAGGAUUGGAUUGGAGCAAUAGAUGGUACUCAUGUCACUGCCAGAGUGCCGAGGUCACAAGCUGCAGCAUAUAGAGGGAGGAAGCACUACACAAGCCAGAAUCUGCUAGCUGUUGUUGACUUCGAUCUGAAGUUCACAUAUGUGCUGGCUGGCUGGGAAGGAUCAGCGCAUGAUGCUAACAUUCUCAGUGACAGCAUGAGUCGUCAUGAUGGCAUCAACAUCCCCGAUGGCAAGUUCUACCUUGGAGAUGCUGGCUAUGCAUGUCGGCCAGGUGUUCUUCCAUCCUUCAGGAAAACCAGGUACCAUCUGAACGAGUUUGCUGGUAGGAACUGUCCUAGGACUCCUCAGGAACUGUUCAAUCUCAGACACUCCAGCCUUAGAGUGACAGUUGAGAGGGCCUUUGAAGCUCUGAAGAACAGGUUUAAGAUCCUGGAUCAGAAGCCAUUCCACCCUUACCCUACCCAGGUGAAUCUUGUUCUUGCAUGUUGCAUCAUUCACAACUAG